GUUGACGAUGGCACCUGUUGCUCACUCGGUUACACACAGUCUUCCUGGAAAAGGAAUCCACAAAGAGCGACAGCAAUGGGGCCACCUCGUGCGAGGCGCCAUCAGCGUUCUUGAUGCGUGUUGUUGACGAGGGUUCUUUUGAGGGCAUUUAGUUUCUGGGACACCAUCUCCUGUAACUGGCAUCCGAAGAUUGUGACGCUCGGUCUUUUCGGCAGCACGCCCAAUGUAUCAAACGAGUUUAGGACUAAGACGGGAUGUAGAGGCUCAUUGGUGAAGACAUUCUCGCUCUUGUCAUCAGGAUAAGGAAUCGACACUUUAGUUCGACCUAUUCUUCAAUAGCUACCCUGUUUCGUGAGCAUUCAGUUUAAGGGUCAAUAGCUUGACAUGGCGAAAUCUUUGAAGUGCUCGGAUUCAACCCUCAUUGGUGAAACAUGCAACUCGAUGUAGGAGAAAGUUGAGCUGCUUGUUUCGAGAUCAUUAGAACAUAUGCCGUACAAACCUGCGAGCAAAAUUGCUCGAUGUCGUGCAUUGGAAACAAGUGAAACGGAUCAUUGUAUUAUGUAUGUUCAUGUUGCCAUUCACACCUAGCCAUUCACAUCAGCUUGAUAUGCUUCGUUUUCUCUAGGCUAUUGUAGUUAGGUUCUCUCACAUCUCAAAAACUAUGAGGAAUCUAUAUAUUUCGUUAUUUGUAAAUUGAAACUAAGCUUUAUAAAACUAGUAUGUCUAAUUAUUGUGUAUUUUUCACUUAGUUCCAAUUGUCUUCUAAAAUUGACAA